ensembl:snRNA U6 U6 spliceosomal RNA
GUGCUUGCUUCAGCAGCACAUCAACUAAAAUUGGAAAGAUAUAGAGAAGAUUAGCAUGACCCCUAAGGAAGGAUGACACACAACUUCAUGAAGUAUUCUAUAUUUUU